UAGAAGACAGAGGCCGGUCGCGAAGGCCCA
rnacentral:sRNA from 1 species